CAUGCGACUCUCCAUGCCCGUCUUCGUUAUACUUUGUUUCUUCUUUACCUUCUGUUUUACCUCUUCAACCAACUUCCAAGCUUCUGCAGGCUAUCAGGCUCAUGCUAACGUAUCAACCAUGCAAGUGUAGGGAUCCAACUCCCUGGGCAAUACCACACCUCUCCCUCAUGAAAUUGAAGUAGUUUAUCCCUUGCUCAACCAGACCGCAUCCGUAAUGGCUACAGGCACUCGAAACAGCUAUAAAAAUUAUAAAAAAAACUUAAAAAGAAAGAAAGAAAGAAAGAAAAGUGACCGCAUUCGGUUAAAAACCCAUGCUUACCAUCUGCUCAAAAAACUCCUAUAGCUUGUAAACUGAAUCCAUGAGAAGCAUAACCAGUGAUCAUAGGUGUCCAAGAUACUACAUUCUUAAUUCUUACCCUAUGGAAGGUUUUCAAUUCUUGCAUAGCUCAAGUUGCCUGAUUUUUAAUACAUGUCAAUAAGAUCAGUUUCGAGUUUCGACCAUCUCCACUGCCAGACAUUGCUCUCAGUGCCUGAGCAUGGGUCUCUUUGCCUGCAGAGGAAUGAGACGGAGGGAUCAGGAAGAAGCCUGGGAGAAGAGGUGGAGGGCGUCAGACUAGCGAGCCGGGGGAGGCAAGAAGGCUGGAGUACGCGGUGAGGAGCUGGCUGGCGGUGACGGGAUCCCGGUCCAGGUCGAGCUUAAGAAACCGAGCUAGAUGGAGAGAUCCAUUAGUCUCCUCGAAUCCCUCUCGUGAAGAACGAAGAGGCGACGGUUAAUGGCAGAAAAUAUUGUGACAAAACAGAUAUCCUGGGGUUUUGGCAAGCAUACCAUCUGCUUGAAAACUUUCGGAUCCUGCUGCACCAAGUACCUGUUCAAAGAAUUAAAUUACCGGAAAUACAAAGAAAAUAAUCCUAACAAAAACAUUAGAGCCGAAAUGAAGACAUGUUAUAUAGUCCACUCAAUUCUAAAUGCCA